rnacentral:rRNA from 1 species
UACGUAGGGUGCGAGCGUUGUCCGGAAUUAUUGGGCGUAAAGAGCUCGUAGGCGGUUUGUCGCGUCGACUGUGAAAACCUGGGGCUUAACUCUGGGCCUGCAGUCGAUACGGGCAGACUAGAGGUAGGUAGGGGAGAAUGGAAUUCCCGGUGUAGCGGUGAAAUGCGCAGAUAUCGGGAGGAACACCGGUGGCGAAGGCGGUUCUCUGGGCCUUACCUGACGCUGAGGAGCGAAAGCGUGGGGAGCGAACAGG